rnacentral:rRNA from 1 species
AUGUCAUCGUCUGCCUGCCGCGACCACGCAUCAGCCAUUGCUGAUGUUGCCUCAUCCGCCGCCAGCUCCGAUGACGACGUGUCUCCUUCUCCGUGGUCAUCUCUGCACGCGGAUUUGGUUCAUCUAGUCGGCUGGCAGGUGUUGGCCCGAGAUCUACUUGACUAUGUACGAUUUCGUGCCGUGUGCGCCCACUGGUGGUCCAGCACCGUCGCCCCGCGGGGGCACGGCAUCGUCGACCCGCGCUUCCACCCCAAAAGGUGGUUGCUCCUGCCUGAGGGUCACGGCCUUCACCCCCCUGACGGCAAGAAACGUUUCUUCAAUCUCUCCAGAGGAGUUUUCGUCCGUGCCUCGCUCCCGCUCUUAAUCAAUAGCUAUGUCCUUGACUCGGUCGACGGCCUCCUCCUCUUGCAAUGGAAGAAGCAAGACACCUCCGCGAUCUGGCUCCUCCACCCUUUCACCGGCGACUUUGUGGAGCUACCGCCGACCAUGUCCUUGGUAAGGGCCAACUUGGAUAUGUCAAAUGGCAGGAGACAUGUCGCUUUCAGUGGUGUCACCUCCAUGAGCGUGAGUAUUGAUGGAGUCGUCACAGUCAUGAUCAAGCUUUAUAAUAUACCACGUGUAUUCUUUGCUACCACCAAGGACCAGCAAUGGAGUGUCUCGACUUGGAGCCUCCAAGGCUACUCUCAUACAAUAUCAUCCCAAGGGAAAUUAUUUGUGUUGGAUUCUCCCACCACAUAUGGCGGCGAACAACAUAUUCUCCAGAUUGAUCCACCCCGCCUUGAUCAUCACGUGAUGUCAUCUUAUUUGUUGCCGCCAAGGUUGAUUGCCACGUGUCCCAAUGACAAAAUUAAAGGCCGGUUUUGCAUGGAGGAAUGCGUCUUGGAGAUCUUACUGAUUGGUCACGACGCUAACCCACUUUUCGAGGGCCGCAUGCUCGUCAACAAAGUAGCCGAUCUUAUCAUGGGCAAGGUUGUCCCGGUAACAAGUAUCGGAGGUAAUACUCUUUUCACUACUAUUGACCAUGAAAUUUGCAUCAAGGAUGAUGAUGUCUCAGUUUAUGUGAGGGAGAAUAUUGCCGUGAGUUACCUACUGCUGUGGGCAACACCAUUGUACGUCGUUGGCGUCUCAAAGAUAAUUCUCCUUUGUACUACGACCUUUCUAGUGGCAAAAGGUUCCUAA